UGGAUGAUGUGGAUUAAUUCGAUGCAACGCGAAGAACCUUACCUACCCUUGACAUGUCCGGAACUUGCCAGAGAUGGCUUGGUGCCCGAAAGGGAAUCGGAACACAGGUGCUGCAUGGCUGUCGUCAGCUCGUGUCGUGAGAUGUUGGGUUAAGUCCCGCAACGAGCGCAACCCUUAUCAUUAGUUGCUACGCAAGGGCACUCUAAUGAGACUGCCGGUGACAAACCGGAGGAAGUGGGGAUGACGUCAAGUCCUCAUGGCCCUUAUGGGUAGGGCUUCACACGUCAUACAAUGGUCGGUACAGAGGGUUGCCAAGCCGCGAGGCGGAGCCAAUCCCACAAAGCCGAUCGUAGUCCGGAUUGUUCUCUGCAACUCGAGAGCAUGAAGUCGGAAUCGCUAGUAAUCGCAGGUCAGCAUACUGCGGUGAAUACGUUCCCGGGUCUU
rnacentral:rRNA from 1 species